GUCGUUAUAAGUAAAAGGGGGAAAGAAUUUAAGAUUCUUUACGCUUUGGUGUAUUCUCUAUUGCAUACGUCAGAAAUAUGUAAAAAUACUAAAUGUAUGUUUUGAAAUAUUUUCCAAUGUAAUAAUAUUAAACUGCAUUUGAUGUAGCUCCACAGAGCAAAUUUAUUUAUUCCUUUCCCUUCUCUUUUUUCUGUAUCCCCAUUAACUUUUUUUUGUAUUUACUGUAUUUAUGUGGUUUAUUAAAAAAAGAAAAGAAAAAUUAAGACAUUAAAAAAAAAA